rnacentral:rRNA from 1 species
GACGAACGCUGGCGGCGUGCUUAACACAUGCAAGUCGAACGCUGAAGCUCAGCUUUUGUUGGGUGGACGAGUGGCGAACGGGUGAGUAACACGUGAGUAACCUGCCCCCUUCUUUGGGAUAACGCCCGGAAACGGGUGCUAAUACUGGAUAUUCACUGGUCUUCGCAUGGGGGUUGGUGGAAAGGGUUUUUCUGGUGGGGGAUGGGCUCGCGGCCUGUCAGCUUGUUGGUGGGGUGAUGGCCUACCCAGGCUUUGACGGGUAGCCGGCCUGAGAGGGUGACCGGUCACAUAGGGACGGAGAUACGGCCCAGGCUCCGACGGGGGGCGGCAGUGGGGAAUAUGGCACAAUGGGCGCAAGCCUGAUGCCGCGACGCCGCGGGAGGGAUGGAGGCCUUCGGGUUGUGAACCUCUUUCGCUCAUGGUCAAGCCGCAACAAUGGUUGUGGUGAGGGUAGUGGGUAAAGAAGCGCCGGCUAACUACGUG